rnacentral:rRNA from 1 species
AAGUCGUAACAAGGUCUCCGUAGGUGAACNUGCGGAGGGAUCAUUACACAAAUAUGAAGCCGGACUGGGAUAGGGCCUCGCUGCCUUGCCCGUCUGGCGCCAUAUUCACCCAUGUCUUUUUGCGUACUACUUGUUUCCUUGGCGGGUCCGCCCGCCAAUUGGACCUUAUUCAAACCUUUUUUUCAGUUGCAAUCAGCGUCAGCAAAACAAAUGUAAUCAAUUACAACUUUCAACAACGGAUCUCUUGGUUCUGGCAUCGAUGAAGAACGCAGCGAAAUGCGAUAAGUAGUGUGAAUUGCAGAAUUCAGUGAAUCAUCGAAUCUUUGAACGCACAUUGCGCCCUUUGGUAUUCCAAAGGGCAUGCCUGUUCGAGCGUCAUUUGUACCCUCAAGCUUUGCUUGGUGUUGGGCGUCUUGUCUCUCUCCCGAGACUCGCCUUAAAAUCAUUGGCAGCCGGCCUACUGGUUUCGGAGCGCAGCACAUUAUUUGCGCUCUUGUCCAGCCGCGGUCGCGCGUCCAUGAAGCUUCUUUCAACCUUUUGACCUCGGAUCAGGUAGGGAUACCCGCUGAACUUAA